CAAACGGCCCUUUUCAGGGCCCUGUAAAUAAACUGUAAAUAUAGCU
rfam:Camponotus floridanus CamFlo_1.0_1.contig2478, whole genome shotgun sequence.